UACGUAGGGUGCAAGCGUUGUCCGGAAUUAUUGGGCGUAAAGAGCUCGUAGGCGGUCUGUUGCGUCGGCUGUGAAAACCCGGGGCUCAACCCCGGGCCUGCAGCCGAUACGGGCAGACUAGAGUUCGGCAGGGGAGACUGGAAUUCCUGGUGUAGCGGUGAAAUGCGCAGAUAUCAGGAGGAACACCGAUUGCGAAGGCAGCUCGCUGGGACGUUACUGACGCUGAGACGCGAAAGCGUGGGGAGCAAACAGG
rnacentral:rRNA from 1 species